rnacentral:lncRNA from 1 species
CUGAAAUGAGUUUGAGAUUGAUGGUGUACUCUGUUGACCUUCAUGGGAAUGCCUACCAGGAGGUGGUGGGAGGCCAGACUUUUUUCUCAGCUGGACAAAUGUGUGUGGAUGAAGUUCGUUGUCUAGAGUCUACUGAAACCAGUUUACAGCUCAACUGCUGCUUGUGUGUCUUGACCUCAUGAUGCCUUAGCAAAGGUCAGUCAAAUCCUGACUUGCAUGGAGAAUAUGACUAGAGAACUAUUACAGUUUCGUGCAAUACAGGAAAUGAGGAGGCAGCCCAGGAAACUGUGAGGUGGUGAACAGAAAGCAAAUGAAAAGAUACACUUCAUUCUCCACACUGUGCACAAUUAAACUUUUGAACUCAGAAUGCAUUCACACAGAGAAGUUCAAGAAGAGAUUUAAUAAAUUCUGAGAAGAAAAAUCUGCA